UCCCCGAUGAAACUCCCCCAGCCUCCCUGUUGUGAGGACCCUUUGACGACAUUUAGGAGCCGCCCAGGUAAUCCCGCUUGCUCUCAAAACCCUCGGCUCACCAGCCCUGCAAAGCCCCUUACGCCAUCUAAGGGUAACACGACGCGUUCCCAUGAUCAGGAAAUGCACAUGCGUGGGGGCCAUUAUUCAACUGUCCGCAUUAAGGUGACAGUUGUGACCUGGAUGGCACAGCCCCGUCAGCCUGAGUCCCUGCAGGACCCCCGAGACAGCCCUUCCCGCCCACCCCCUCCCCCUGCACCCGGCCCGGGGCUCACACGCUGGCCUGUUACACGUGGCACGAAUCAAGCCUGUCGUAUUAUAUCACGUCACAUCGGACUGGGAGGCGCUUGGCCCGCCCUCCUGCACGGAGGUUGGACGCGCCCGCAGAGCAAGACGGGCAGCGAGGAAGAGAAGGAGCAAAACAAAACAGCUGCUGCUGGAAACUGGCCCACGAUGUCUUCAGGGACCGAGAUGUCCACUGGGUUUCCUCACCUAUGUGCUUGGUAUGCACAACAGGAUGACAGGAGCAUCUGGGGUCUCUCCCCGACCCUGUUUCCAUGUGUGACAGGCUUGGGCUUCCUCCCCAGUGUGGUGGCCUCAUGGCAGGACAUUUUGUUCUACCUGAAGACAAGAACUGCCGAGUUUAAGCCGGGAAGUCAGUUGCCAACCGUGACUCAUUGUGAGUAAAGACGUGUAUGCUGUUGGCUUCUUCGGAAAGUGCUGGGCAAGACUUACGUAAAAUAUUCAGAAUGAAUCAAACACAAGGAGCUGCGGCAGGAGGGCGGCCACGUGGAAGGAGUCGGGAUAUAUCUAAUGGGUUGAUUAGCACUGGUGCUCGUGUCCUGCCCGGGGACCACAUACAUGUAUUAUUCAUAGGAAACAGCAAGUGUGUCAAGUGAACAUGAGCAAAACCCUCAGCACCAAUGCUGUGGCGCCGGUGUCCCCAAAGCUAGCGUCUUCCUCCCUCCAAUGCAGCGUCCGCAGCACUGCCACGGUGCAGCUCACAUUCCUGGCCAAACUCUGGAUGGACAGAAUGAAACAGCCACCCUUACAGGAAGGUGGCCUCCUGCUGUCUUAUGCUGCCUCCCCAGCACGUCCAAGUGCCUGGGUACAGAGCGGGUCCUCAACAGGUAGCCACUGAAACUGCUUUUCAAUAGUGCAGAUUCCCCACCCGCCCUUCCAAUUUCGUUGAGGUGACACUCUGCACACCCAGGUUUGAAGAUUCGCUGUCCUAGCUGUCCAACCCAUUUGCAUGCAUGCCAAGGAGCGUUCUGAUUACUGUGAACUGUCUUCUGCUUUCCUCCUGGCCAGUCUCUGCUUCGUGUCACCAUGGAAGCAUCUGGAAUGCUCUUUCCCCAAGGCUGCCGGGGGCUCCUUGCUCUCAACUCAGCGCCCUGUGACAAGGAACCCACGUUCGUCAUAGAGUGAGUGGGUCUCGGAAGGGGGACAGUUCUCCACCCCCAACAUCUCCAGGCCAGGGCAGCCUUCUCCACAAGACAAGUUGGAUGCUGUGGGGCAUUUAAUGGUGGACCUGCAAAGAUACAUCUGUGUCCAAGUCUCUGGCACCUGGGAACGCAACUUCACAUUGAAGAGGGGUCUCUGUAGAUAUAAUUAAGUGACAGAUCCUGAGGACAGACCAUCCUGGCUUAGCCAGGUGGGCCAGUGAGAGGUGUUCUUAGAAGAGAAGAGGGCCGCGUGAUAGAUGCUGAGAUCAGAGGGAUGUGGCCGCCGCCAGUGGAGCCAGUGGCCACAAGAAGCUGAUGGGGGCCAAGAAUGACCCUCCUGUCCCACCCGUUACUUGGUGUGGUGCCAGGCCAGGGGCCACACAAGGUGCCAGCCUCAAACAGGACUGGAAAAUGCGCACAACUGAGCCAUGGGUAUGAAACAGCAGAAUCGCUGCCACUCAUUUGCCAUUAAGCUAAGGAUACGUAAGAGAAGUACAUCUUUGAGAUACUCAGGAAUAUAGUUUAGGGAUUUGUUGGUAGUUAGAAUAGAAGCAAUAUUAGCUUCUGGACAGCCAUUUGUCUGUCUGCCAAAGAACACAGGGAGGAUGGACCCCUGCCCACAUCCAGGAAGCCCUCUGGGUGGGACAGGACUUAGCCAGCAAAAGGUACAGAACAAAAGCAAAAACCCACAAUCACCUUAAAAAUGCAGGAUGUGACACGUGGUGAGAGACCGUAAGGCAGCAACUGUGGGGCUGAAGCGGCCUGAACAGUUUCUAAUGGUGGGAAGAGUCGAGAUAGGUAGCCCUGUACGGGCCACAGCCGCGCUGCCCACCGGCUCCGGCCCCCCUGCUGCCAGCCGCCCCGAACGUCUACAGGACACCAGCCCGAGGAAUGUGACCAAUGAGUAUUCUUAGGAAAGCAAAGCCACCGAAACAUCUGCUUGCUUUGCAUAUUUCUCAACUGACUUUUUAAAGGCAUAAAUGGAAUCACUGUUCCAAUCAAGUUUUAAUUAACACACUUGCAACUUAAUGCAUCAAUGUGCCUUUGUUUCCAGAAGCUUCAGGACAUUCAAGGCUUGCCUGUCGAGUAAAAUGGAAAGUCGGGUGAAAAAGCAAGCAAGCCCUACAUGCUGUGGCUCCCACGCUUAGGUGGACUGCACCCCAAGGACGAGGACAGGCAGGAAGUGAGGCUGCCCCGACUGACCCGGGAAGAGCAGCAAGCACAGGCUCUCCGGAACAGAAACUACCUCCUCCCUGACGGAAACAGCCUGGAGGACACAAGACCAGGGACAGAGCCGGGCCCACCCAGCACGGCCCCGGGCGGGCCGGUGUCUGCCGCCGGGCUUGGGGCUCUCGUCCUGGGCCGCCCAUGAGCGGUCCCCGCACCCCCUUCCCAGCCACCCACGAGUGGCCGGCUUUCUGCCCCAGACUCAGUGUCCAGCCCUUCCAUUUGGAUGGGCCCCGCCAGAGCCAGUGCGUGGGUUGCCCUCGCCCCUACCGUGGUGGAGGUACAGGGCUCCGGACCUGGUUCCAGAGAGGCCAGCUCCCUGUCCCAGGGGCCGUGAAUCCGGAAGGACAGCCCUGGACAGCACCAUGUGAUCACACAAAGGGCAGCAGGAAAUGACGCCCACCUGGAGGUGGGAGUGGAGCUGAGAAACGGGGAAGAAAACACGUGGGUGCACAGCCGUCGGCCCUCCCUGGGCCAAGAGGAGCCUGCACGCCCCGCUUCUGUCUGAGGCCUGCCUGGGAUCAGAGCCCAGGGCCCUGAGCGGCCGGUCCUCCCUGGAGGACAGCCUGACCCU